CCUAGAGACUUCUGAUGCUAGUUUGGGCUCUUUUCACAAAGCCACACCACCUCUCAACAAAGGAAUGGCUUUUCAACUGUUUCAGACCAAGCUAAAAAGAGUAUAUGGUUUGGAACAUCAAAAGACUAGAGCAGGAGCUCCUGACCAUGGAUCGUGGGCUAUAAAGAACCACAGGCCUGUCUCCUGCUGCUGCCCAGUCCAUGAAAACCCAGAGGGCUUCAGGGAGAGGUGACCAGGAAUCCAGCUGGCUGCUUUGUGUUUCUUCCAUCCUUGAGGCUCUUCUUGGACACCAUUUGGUUCGGUCACGACUGCCGCCUGGUGCAAUAAAAUGUUUGGAGCGAGACCAAGGCUUGAGGGAGACAUGGGCUGUGGAGGGAGAUGACUGGAGAGAAAAUAAUCAAAACAAGGAAGAUGAGAGGGAAUAAGAGAAGCCUGUUCAACACUCACACUUCAAAAACACGUGCUGAGGCUCCGUGGCAACAGAACAGCGCUGCUGGCUUCCCGCGUUGCUCUCUGUUUAACAGUUUGGUGUUUGGGGGACUUGAGAAUCCAUUUAGACAAUUCCCAGAAGAAAAAAUGCAAAUGACUCAUAAACAUAUGAAAUAAAUGUUCGACAUCACUUGUAAUCAAAGAAAUGCAAAUAUAAAACAACAAGAUAGCGUUUUCACCUACCAAAUUAACAGAGAUUAAAAGGAAUUCUAGCCGUCAACGGAGGUGGUGAGAUGGCCCAUGUCUCCUUGCUGCAGUGCUAAUUGGUACAACCUUUCUCCUGGGCAGUUUUGCAAUAGGUAGCAAAAGUCUUAAAAAUAUUUAUACUUCUUGGCCCAGUAAUUCUCCUUCUAGCUUCUACCCUAAGGACAUAAGCAGCAAUGUGAGCAAAGAUACGUACUAAUGUAUCAUUGGGAUGUUGUUUACAACAAGAAAAAGAAAAAAAAGUAAAAUGUUAUUUUGUUAUUGAAUAUAUAAUAUAAAUAGGAAAUACACAAAUAUAAAAAUAGAUUACAACAUUCCUUCACUAAUAUUGUGCCACAGAUGAUAUAUUUUAAAGACUAUCGAUAUAAUAUAAACCAAAAACACCAGUAGUGUAUAUAUAGUGUGAUCUUAGUUUUAUGAGAAAAAGAGAGAAAAAAUACAUCAAAAUAUUAACAGAAAUUAUUUCUGUAUAGGUAAUUUCAGUGCAUGUUUAUUUCUUUUUGAUACUUUUCUGUAUUUUCAAAGUUCCCCAUAAUGCACAUAUGCUGAUCAGAAAAUGUAAGCAGCAUUUUAAAUGUGUAAAUAAAGAAUUAAAAGCA